rnacentral:rRNA from 1 species
AUUGAACGCUGGCGGCAGGCCUAACACAUGCAAGUCGGGCGAGUGGCGGACGGGUGAGUAAUGUCUGGGGAACUGCCUGAUGGAGGGGGAUAACUACUGGAAACGGUAGCUAAUACCGCAUACCAUCGGAUGUACCCAUAUGGGAUUAGCUUGUAGGUGGGGUAAAGGCUCACCUAGGCGACGAUCCCUAGCUGGUCUGAGAGGAUGACCAGCCACACUGGAACUGAGACACGGCCCAGACUCCUACGGGAGGCAGCAGUGGGGAAUAUUGCACAAUGGGCGCAAGCCUGAUGCAGCCAUGCCGCGUGUAUGAAGAAGGCCUUCGGGUUGUAAAGUACUUUCAGCCGGGAGGCGUUACCCGCAGAAGAAGCACCGGCUAACUCCGUGCCAGCAGCCGCGGUAAUUC